rnacentral:lncRNA from 1 species
UAUAUAUUUGUACAUAAAUACAUAUAUAAUUUAACUCAUUUUUAAUAUAUAUUUUAUACUAAUGGCUGAUUUUGAUAAUUGAUUUUAGCAUGUACCUAAUAUGAUCUAAUAAAUUGUUAAUUUAAAGGGUACUACAUACUACAAUGGUGCUUUCAUUCACUGGGAUCAUACUCCUUCAAGAUUCAAGAAUCAAUGCUUGUAUUACUAGUCCUGACAUAGAAAUUUUCAAAAGAAAACAGGGUAUAAGAUAUAUAUUAGCUCAAAAUAUAUAUGCAUAACUUAAACAAGUGAUCUAGCGCCCCAGUUACGAAGUGGUGGUGGAUUAUUAUUGUUAUUGGUAGGAGCAUCAAUGUUGACUCCACCAAAUCGAAAAGCUGCAUCGUAGUUAUUAACAACAAGAGGCACUUCCGGUGUGACAAGUUGUUGAUGAGGCAUAAUUCUGAAUCGACCAAAGUGCUUCUCUAUCAGAUCAAACCCAUCCAAACCAGCUUUCUUCAGUUUCGCUGCAGAUGCCAUAUUGAUUAGUGAUUACAGU